rnacentral:rRNA from 1 species
AUCACUUGUUCUCUAAAUCAGGACCAGUAUGAACGGCCCCACGAGGGCUAUGCUGUCUCCCCCCUCCAAUCAGUGAAACUGAUCCCCUCGUGAAGAAGCGAGGAUGCCCACAUAAGACGAGAAGACCCCAUGGAACUUUAAACUAGUAUUACCCCCCCCCCCACCACAUCACACCAACAGGGCAACAUGACUACUAGUCUUUCGGCUGGGGCGGCCACGGGGAAAAACAAAACCCCCGAGAUGAAAGGAGAAACCCCCUAUCCACGAACCACCAUUCUAAGAAUCAACAAAUGACACCACUGACCCAACACUUGAUCAACGAACCAAGCUACCCUGGGGAUAACAGCGCAAUCCAUUUCAAGAGACCUCAUC